rnacentral:tRNA from 4 species
GUUAAUGUAGCUUAAAUCAUUAAAGCAAAGCACUGAAAAUGCUUAGAUGGAUUAAAUUAAUCCCAUAAACA